GAUGAACGCUGGCGGCGUGCCUAAUACAUGCAAGUCGAGCGAACGGACGAGAAGCUUGCUUCUCUGAUGUUAGCGGCGGACGGGUGAGUAACACGUGGAUAACCUACCUAUAAGACUGGGAUAACUUCGGGAAACCGGAGCUAAUACCGGAUGAUAUUUUGAACCGCAUGGUUCAAAAGUGAAAGACGGUCUUGCUGUCACUUAUAGAUGGAUCCGCGCUGCAUUAGCUAGUUGGUAAGGUAACGGCUUACCAAGGCAACGAUGCAUAGCCGACCUGAGAGGGUGAUCGGCCACACUGGAACUGAGACACGGUCCAGACUCCUACGGGAGGCAGCAGUAGGGAAUCUUCCGCAAUGGGCGAAAGCCUGACGGAGCAACGCCGCGUGAGUGAUGAAGGGCUUCGGAUCGUAAAACGCUGUUAUUAGGGAAGAACAUAUGUGUAAGUAACUGUGCACAUCUUGACGGUACCUAAUCAGAAAGCCACGGCUAACUACGU
rnacentral:rRNA from 1 species